rnacentral:rRNA from 1 species
GACGAACGCUGGCGGCGUGCUUAACACAUGCAAGUCGAACGAGUGGCGAACGGGUGAGUAACACGUGGGUGACCUGCCCUGCACUUCGGGAUAAGCCUGGGAAACUGGGUCUAAUACCGGAUAGUGUGGGAUGGGCCCGCGGCCUAUCAGCUUGUUGGUGGGGUAAAGGCCACCAAGGCGCGAUCAGUAGCGGGUCUGAGAGGAUGAUCCGCCACACUGGGACUGGGACACGGCCCAGACUCCUACGGUAGGCAGCAGUGGGGAAUUUUGGACAAUGGGCGCAAGCCUGAUCCAGCCAUGCCGCGUGUCUGAAGAAGGCCUUCGGUUUGUAAAGGACUUUUGUCAGGGAGACGGUACCUGAAGAAUAAGCACCGGCUAACUACGUGCCAGCAGCCGCGGUAAUUC